AUUGAACGCUGGCGGCAUGCCUUACACAUGCAAGUCGAACGGUAACAGGUUAAGCUGACGAGUGGCGAACGGGUGAGUAAUGUAUCGGAACGUGCCCAGUCGUGGGGGAUAACUGCUCGAAAGAGCAGCUAAUACCGCAUACGACCUGAGGGUGAAAGCGGGGGAUCGCAAGACCUCGCGCGAUUGGAGCGGCCGAUAUCAGAUUAGGUAGUUGGUGGGGUAAAGGCCUACCAAGCCUACGAUCUGUAGCUGGUCUGAGAGGACGACCAGCCACACUGGGACUGAGACACGGCCCAGACUCCUACGGGAGGCAGCAGUGGGGAAUUUUGGACAAUGGACGCAAGUCUGAUCCAGCCAUGCCGCGUGCGGGAAGAAGGCCUUCGGGUUGUAAACCGCUUUUGUCAGGGAAGAAAAAGUUCUGGUUAAUACCUGGGACUCAUGACGGUACCUGAAGAAUAAGCACCGGCUAACUACGUGCCAGCAGCCGCCGUAACAC
rnacentral:rRNA from 1 species